rnacentral:rRNA from 1 species
GUGGGGAAUUGUUCGCAAUGGGCGAAAGCCUGACGACGCAACGCCGCGUGGAGGAUGAAGAAUUUCGGUUCGUAAACUCCUUUCGACCGAGAUGAACACCCAUGGACUUAAUACGUCUGUGGGCUGACAGUAUCGAGAGAAGAAGCCCCGGCUAACUCUGUGCCAGCAGCCGCGGUAAUACAGGGGGGGCAAGCGUUGUUCGGAAUUACUGGGCGUAAAGGGUUCGUAGGUGGCCAACUAAGUCAGAUGUGAAAUCCCUCAGCUUAACUGGGGAACUGCUUCUGAAACUGGUUGGCUUGAGUGCAGGAGAGGAAUGCGGAAUUCCAGGUGUAGCGGUGAAAUGCGUAGAUAUCUGGAGGAACACCGGUGGCGAAGGCGGCAUUCUGGACUGUAACUGACACUGAGGAACGAAAGCCAGGGGAGCAAACGGGAUUAGAAACCCCAGUAGUCC